rnacentral:tRNA from 1 species
GCAUUGUGACUCAGUGGUAGAGUGCUCGCCUCGCACAUGUGAGACCCUGGGUUCAAUACUCAGCAGCA